UACGGAAGGCAGCAGUGGGGAAUAUUGCACAAUGGGCGAAAGCCUGAUGCAGCUAUGCCGCGUGUAUGAAGAAGGCCUUAGGGUUGUAAAGUACUUUCAUCGGGAAGGAAAAAACAAAACUAAUAAUUUUAUUUCUUGACGUUACCCGAAAAAGAAGCACCGGCUAACUCCGUGCCAGCAGCCGCGGUAAUACGGAGGGUGCUAGCGUUAAUCAGAAUUACUGGGCGUAAAGAGCACGUAGGUGGUUUUUUUAAGUCAGAUGUGAAAUCCCUGGGCUUAACCUAGGAACUGCAUUUUGAAACUGAAAUACUAGAGUAUCGUAGAGGGAGGUAGAAUUCUAGGUGUAGCGGUGAAAUGCGUAGAUAUCUGGAGGAAUACCUGUGGCGAAAGCGGCCUCCUAAACGAAUACUGACACUGAGGUGCGAAAGCGUGGGGAGCAAACAGGGAUUAGAUACC
rnacentral:rRNA from 1 species